GUGGAGAUGGCUCAGUGGCUAAGAGCAUUGACUAGGCAUCCAGAGUCCUGAGUUCAAUUCCCAGCAACCACA
rnacentral:tRNA from 1 species